AUAGAGUCGCGCGUUCUUGUCGGAUAACGAGUCUACUUGGUUACGGAGACAUGCUGCCGACGGUCGAAUUGGAUCGUCGUACUUCUGAUACGGUGUUCGUAUUCGCAAGUCGCUUUCAUGCUUACCAACUCUGAGAUCUCCAUGAACCAGGAUGCAUACGACACCUAUAACUCUUUACCAGACACGGAAAGAGACGGGAAUAUAAGGAGGAGAUGGAAAAAGUCGUGAUAAGACCCACCGAAAACCACACUAGAACGCCCCUGGGAUUAGUAUCAACUUGAGACGUUCUAAAUCGGCACGUCCGGCUAGUUGGUCCUGUAACACCCAUCUACAGAGCUGAUAUUGACACAUACUACAAAUAGGCGAAUGAGCUGGAUCACUCGUCGGUAGUUGCUCUACUUCCUCAAACGCCCGAUAACCGAGGAUCGAACACGGCAGCCCAUGGCGAAUGCACCCUGGACGCUAAAGCGUGUAUGUACGAUGAUGGAUGGAUGGCAUGCAGCUCGUGGGGAAGAGCGAGGUACGAGUACUGAUGCUGUACAUGUAUGUACGGGCAUGCGGUGACUAAAAAUACUGUCUGGCUACUGUACAAUCUGGGCCAUGCUCUUAGUCAUGCAGUUCUUAGUACAUCCACUCAACAGUCUCGACCGUUCCCUCUAAC
rnacentral:misc_RNA from 1 species